UACGUAGGGUGCGAGCGUUAAUCGGAAUUACUGGGCGUAAAGUGUGCGCAGGUGGCCGCGCAAGUCGAGUGUGAAAUCCCCGAGCUUAACUUGGGAAUUGCGCUCGAAACUACGUGGCUCGAGUGUGGCAGAGGAAGGUGGAAUUCCACGUGUAGCGGUGAAAUGCGUAGAGAUGUGGAGGAAGCACCGAUGGCGAAGGCAGCCUUCUGGGCCAACACUGACGCUCAUGCACGAAAGCGUGGGGAGCAAACAGG
rnacentral:rRNA from 1 species